UCCCUCGGCAACGGUUCCACUUGCCGCUUCUGGACUGACAACUGGCUUCAGGGGCACUCUAUCGCUGAGCUCGCCCCAAGCCUCACAGCCCUUGUCCCGAUCCGGCGCCGUCACUCGCGUACUAUCGCCUCAGGUCUGCAGGAUCGCAUGUGGAUCGGUGAUAUCCACGGCCAUCUCAGUCUAGCUGCUGCUCUCGAGUACUUUGACCUCUCGCGCCGUUUGCAGGCCAUCGCCCUUUCUCAGGAGCCUGAUACCAUCUCUUGGCGCUGGACGGAGAGCGGUGCCUACUCCGCUUCCUCUUGCUACAAUGCCUUAUUCACCGGCUCUACAUCCUCCGAGCAUUAGCGUCUCAUCUGGAAAUCUGCGGCCCCGUGA
rnacentral:rRNA from 1 species